rnacentral:RNase_P_RNA from 1 species
CGAGUUGGCCGGGCGGCCGCGGCGCGCCGUUGGUGCGUCGAGGAAAGUCCGGACUUCACAGAGCAGGGUGAUUGCUAACGGCAAUCCGGGGUGACCCGCGGGACAGUGCCACAGAAAACAGACCGCCACCGCGCCCUGAAUUUCAGGGCCGGAGGUAAGGGUGAAACGGUGCGGUAAGAGCGCACCAGCAUCCCGGGUGACCGGGAUGGCUCGGUAAACCCCACCCGAAGCAAGGCCAAAAGGCCGCACCCUGCCUUCGGGCCAAGGGUGCGGCUGCGCAGGCGUUUGAGGGUUGCUCGCCCGAGCCUGCGGGUAGGCCGCUGGAGGCACCCGGCGACGGGUGUCGGAGAUGGAUGGUCGCUGCCGCGUCGCCGCUUGUGCGCGGCGCGGGACAGAAUCCGGCUUACAGGCCAGCUCGUCCG